GAAGAGUUUGAUCAUGGCUCAGAUUGAACGCUGGCGGCAGGCCUAACACAUGCAAGUCGAACGGUAACAGGAAGCAGCUUGCUGCUUUGCUGACGAGUGGCGGACGGGUGAGUAAUGUCUGGGAAACUGCCUGAUGGAGGGGGAUAACUACUGGAAACGGUGGCUAAUACCGCAUAACGUCGCAAGACCAAAGAGGGGGACCUUCGGGCCUCUUGCCAUCAGAUGUGCCCAGAUGGGAUUAGCUUGUUGGUGAGGUAACGGCUCACCAAGGCGACGAUCCCUAGCUGGUCUGAGAGGAUGACCAGCCACACUGGAACUGAGACACGGUCCAGACUCCUACGGGAGGCAGCAGUGGGGAAUAUUGCACAAUGGGCGCAAGCCUGAUGCAGCCAUGCCGCGUGUAUGAAGAAGGCCUUCGGGUUGUAAAGUACUUUCAGCGGGGAGGAAGGUGUUGUGGUUAAUAACCGCAGCAAUUGACGUUACCCGCAGAAGAAGCACCGGCUAACUCCGUGCCAGCAGCCGCGGUAAUACGGAGGGUGCAAGCGUUAAUCGGAAUUACUGGGCGUAAAGCGCACGCAGGCGGUCUGUCAAGUCGGAUGUGAAAUCCCCGGGCUCAACCUGGGAACUGCAUUCGAAACUGGCAGGCUUGAGUCUUGUAGAGGGGGGUAGAAUUCCAGGUGUAGCGGUGAAAUGCGUAGAGAUCUGGAGGAAUACCGGUGGCGAAGGCGGCCCCCUGGACAAAGACUGACGCUCAGGUGCGAAAGCGUGGGGAGCAAACAGGAUUAGAUACCCUGGUAGUCCACGCCGUAAACGAUGUCUACUUGGAGGUUGUGCCCUUGAGGCGUGGCUUCCGGAGCUAACGCGUUAAGUAGACCGCCUGGGGAGUACGGCCGCAAGGUUAAAACUCAAAUGAAUUGACGGGGGCCCGCACAAGCGGUGGAGCAUGUGGUUUAAUUCGAUGCAACGCGAAGAACCUUACCUGGUCUUGACAUCCACGGAAGAAUUCAGAGAUGGAUUUGUGCCUUCGGGAACCGUGAGACAGGUGCUG
rnacentral:rRNA from 1 species